GACGAACGCUGGCGGCGUGCUUAACACAUGCAAGUCGAGCGGUAAGGCCCUUUCGGGGUACGACGAGCGGCGAACGGGUGAGUAACACGUGGGUGACCUGCCUUUAGCUCUGGGAUAAGCCUGGGAAACGUGGGUCUAAUACCGGAUAUGACCCUAUGGCGCAUGUUGUGGGGUGGAAAGCCUUGUGCGGCUAGGGAUGGGCCCGCGGCCUAUCAGCUUGUUGGUGGGGUGAUGGCCUACCAAGGCGACGACGGGUAGCCGGCCUGAGAGGGCGACCGGCCACACUGGGACUG
rnacentral:rRNA from 1 species